UGGGGAAUAUUGGACAAUGGGCGGAAGCCUGAUCCAGCAACGCCGCGUGAGGGAUGACGGCCUUCGGGUUGUAAACCUCUUUCAGUACCGACGAAGCGAAAGUGACGGUAGGUACAGAAGAAGCACCGGCCAACUACGUGCCAGCAGCCGCGGUAAUACGUAGGGUGCGAGCGUUGUCCGGAAUUAUUGGGCGUAAAGGGCUCGUAGGCGGUUUGUCGCGUCGGGAGUGAAAACACUGGGCUUAACUCAGUGCUUGCUUCCGAUACGGGCAGACUAGAGGUAUGCAGGGGAGAACGGAAUUCCUGGUGUAGCGGUGAAAUGCGCAGAUAUCAGGAGGAACACCGGUGGCGAAGGCGGUUCUCUGGGCAUUACCUGACGCUGAGGAGCGAAAGUGUGGGAGCGAACAGGAUUAGAUACCCUGGUAGUCCACACCGUAAACGUUGGGCGCUAGGUGUGGGGUCCAUUCCACGGAUUCCGUGCCGCAGCUAACGCAUUAAGCGCCCGCCUGGGG
rnacentral:rRNA from 1 species